GACGUAGGGCGCGAGCGUUGUCCGGAUUUAUUGGGCGUAAAGAGCUCGUAGGCGGCUUGUCGCGUCGACUGUGAAAACCCGCGGCUCAACUGUGGGCUUGCAGUCGAUACGGGCAGGCUGGAGUUCGGUAGGGGAGACUGGAAUUCCUGGUGUAGCGGUGAAAUGCGCAGAUAUCAGGAAGAACACCCGUGGCGAAGGCGGCUCUCUGGGACGGUACUGACGCUGAGACGCGAAAGCGUGGGGAGCGAACAGG
rnacentral:rRNA from 1 species